GAUGAACGCUGGCGGCGUGCCUAAUACAUGCAAGUCGAGCGAACAGAUAAGGAGCUUGCUCCUUUGACGUUAGCGGCGGACGGGUGAGUAACACGUGGAUAACCUACCUAUAAGACUGGGAUAACUUCGGGAAACCGGAGCUAAUACCGGAUAAUAUUUAGAACCGCAUGGUUCAAAAGUGAAAGACGGUUUUGCUGUCACUUAUAGAUGGAUCCGCGCCGCAUUAGCUAGUUGGUAAGGUAACGGCUUACCAAGGCAACGAUGCGUAGCCGACCUGAGAGGGUGAUCGGCCACACUGGAACUGAGACACGGUCCAGACUCCUACGGGAGGCAGCAGUAGGGAAUCUUCCGCAAUGGGCGAAAGCCUGACGGAGCAACGCCGCGUGAGUGAUGAAGGUCUUCGGAUCGUAAAACUCUGUUAUUAGGGAAGAACAAAUGUGUAAGUAACUGUGCACGUCUUGACGGUACCUAAUCAGAAAGCCACGGCUAACUACGUG
rnacentral:rRNA from 1 species